UGGCUCUCGCAUCGAUGAAGAACGCAGCAAAGCGCGAAAUGUAAUGUGAAUUGCAGAAUUCAGUGAAUCAUCGAAUCUUUGAACGCACCUUGCGCUUUCGGGCUAUUCCUGAAAGCAUGCUUGUUUGAGUGUCGCAUACUUCUCAACCCCGCCUUUUUGUAAUGAAAAGGUUGUUUGGGAUUGGAUCAUGACGCCUGUCGGCCAUUUUACUUUCAAAGUAAACCGACUGUGUUGAAAUAUAAAAAGCUGAAUCUAUACCGGCAGCUUGACCUGUUGUUGUAAAAUAAUUAAAUCAAUAGGAGCGCCGUCAAAGAACGAGCUUACCAUAAAACCAUCUCUUUGAAUAUUGACCUCAAAUCAAGUAGGACUACCCGCUGA
rnacentral:misc_RNA from 1 species